CGAGCACCUCUUACACACCUUACACACACAUACCCCACCUCACAGACCACACGCACGUGCACACACGCCACACAUACACCUCACACAGGACACAGACACGCAACACACACAUGCAAGAUAGCAAACAUACCACAAACACACCCCUCACACACACCCCUCACACACACCCCUCACACACACCUCUAACACACACACCCCUCACACACACCCCUCACACACACCCCUCACACACACCCCUAACACACACACCCCUCACACACACCCCUCACACACACCCCUCACACACACCCCUCACACACACCUCACACACACCCUCACACACACCCCUCACACACACCCCUUACACCCCUCACACACACCUCACACACACCCUCACACACACCCCUCACACACACCCCUCACACACACCUCACACACACCCUCACACACACCCCUCACACACACCCCUUACACCCCUCACACACACCUCACACACACCCUCACACCCCGCACACACACCCCUCACACCCCUCACACACACCCCUCACAUACACACCCCUCACACACACCCCUCACACACACCCCUCACACACACCCCUCACACACACCUCACACACACCCUCACACACACCCCUCACACACACCCCUCACACACACCCCUUACACCCCUCACACACGUCUCACACACACCCCUCACACACACCCCUCACACACACCUCACACACACCCUCACACACACCCUCACACCCCUCACACACACCCCUCACACACCCCUCACACACACCCCUCACACACACCCCUCCCACACACCCCUCACACACACCCCUCACACACACCUCACACACACCCUCACACCCCUCACACACACCCCUCACACACCCCUCACACACACCCCUCAUACACACCCCUCACACACACCCCUUACACCCCUCACACACACCUCACACACACCCUCACACACACCCCUCACACACACCCCUCACACACACCCCUCACACCCCGCACACACACCCCUCACACCCCUCACACCACACCCCUCACACACACACCCCUCACACACACCCCUCACACACGCACCCCUCACACGCACCCCUCACACGCACCCCUCACACACACACCCCUCACACACACCCCUCACACACACCCCUCACACACCCCUCACACACACCCCUCACACACACCCCUCACACACACCUCACACACACACCUCACACACACCCCUCACACACACACCCCUCACACACACCCCUCACACACACACCCCUCACACCCCUCACACACACACCCCUCACACACACCCCUCACACACACACCCCUCACACACACCCCUCACACACACCCCUCACACACACCCCUCACACACCCCUCACACACACCCCUCACACACACCCCUUACACACACCCUCACACACCCCUCACACACACCCCUCACACACACACCCCUCACACCCCUCACACACACCCCUCACACACACACCCCUCACACACACACUUCACACCCCUCACACACACCCCUCACACACACCCCUCACACACAUACCUCACACACACCUCACACACACCCCUCACACACACACCUCACACCCCUCACACACACACCCCUCACACACACCCCUCACACACACCCCUCACACACACACCCCUCACACCCCUCACACACACACCCCUCACACACACACUUCACACCCCUCACACACACCCCUCACACACACCCCUCACACACAUACUCACACACCCCUCACACACACCCCUCACACACACCCCUCACACACACCCCUCACACACAUACCUCACACACACCUCACACACACCCCUCACACACACACCUCCACACCCUCACACACACACCCCUCACACACACACCCCUCACACACACCCCUCACACACCCCUCACACACACACCUACACACUCCCCAUAGACACUACAACUGCACAUACUGCACAAUCUCACAAGCCACAAACACCUUAUACACACCACACACACACACGCCACACACCUCAUACCACGCACCCCUCACAUGCACACCACGCACCCCUUGGACACCUCACACACUCCGCACACUCUCUCGCCUUCAUGUUAAAAAGCAUUUGCUUUUGCCUCAUUGCUUCCACACUG
rnacentral:lncRNA from 1 species